CCUACGGGCGGCAGCAGUAGGGAAUAUUGCUCAAUGGGGGAAACCCUGAAGCAGCAACGCCGCGUGGAGGAUGAAGGUUUUCGGAUUGUAAACUCCUUUUGUUAGAGAAGAUAAUGACGGUAUCUAACGAAUAAGCACCGGCUAACUCCGUGCCAGCAGCCGCGGUAAUACGGAGGGUGCAAGCGUUACUCGGAAUCACUGGGCGUAAAGAGCGCGUAGGCGGGAUAGCAAGUCAGAUGUGAAAUCCUAUGGCUUAACCAUAGAACUGCAUUUGAAACUGUUAUUCUAGAGUAUGGGAGAGGUAGGUGGAAUGCUUGGUGUAGGGGUAAAAUGCGUAGAGAUCAAGAGGAAUACUCAUUGCGAAGGCGACCUGCUAGAACAUAACUGACGCUGAUGCGCGAAAGCGUGGGGAGCAAACAGGAUUAGAUACCCCGGUAGUC
rnacentral:rRNA from 1 species